GAGUAUGUUUUCUCGCGAGGUGUGGGAUGUGCAACUGGGUGAGGAGCGGUCGGGCACGCGCGGGGAAGCACGGGCGUGUGCCGACUUCAUGCUUCGCACACCUAGGAAUGUGACUGUCCCUGUGUAAAGACAUUAUAAUAGAUGUUUGGCUCACCACCCUUCACCGCCCUAAUCUCUCUCUCUAUUUCUCUCUCGCGCUCUCUGUCCACUGUUAGGGGGCGCCGUGACCUACUUCCACGCCUUCUUAAUCCACCUCCACCACAUUCCUUUGUUCAUGCAGAGGAGGAACUUACAUUCACAAUGAACUUCAUAUCACCAGGGUAAAUCUGUUUGGGUAAAGUGACUGUUGGUUCAGAGACUUUCGGAUUUACAAAUCAGCUCUCUUGGACACUAUAUUUGAUGCGCUCAAAAGAUGUUGGCCAAGGUCAUCUAGAUUUGUGUAUCAACCCAUGCGAGCAUUGUCUGCUAAGCCUGUAAUGCCUGAUCCUUGUUUGAGAUGUCACAUGAUUAGUAAUUCUUUGUCUCCGCUUGAAGAUUGCAUGGGCUUUUCUAGGAAUGAUAUUUUAUUUGCACACGAUGGGUUGGUUUAUGAUAUUGCUAACAGAGCCCUUGAAGUUCACGCUGGAUUACUUCAGAGGAUCUUCAGAACCGGACAAGCUUGCUGACGAAAGGCAUCAUAACUCUGUUCGCCAUCACCGAUCCAAGUGAAAGAUCAAGAAGAGCCUGGUGAAGAUGCGUUCCAGAUCUGUAACGAAUGACAUAACGAGCGGUCUCGCCGGUGAAUUAUUUAACUGGAACGGAGCAUAUCUAAUUUACCUAAGUACGGUACUCAAAGUCUUCAUGAAGACUCUAACGAGAGAAGCUCUGAACCGUGACGUACACUUGCGAAUUCUUCAUCGGUGCUCGAAUCAGUAUUGCGUGUCAACGGACUCGGAUUCGGAAACGUGCCGCCUGCAAGUCAUGCCCUUCUGUAACACCACCAAGUCACCAGUUCCGAAUUCGACAAAGUAGGAAUAUCAGAACAGGAAGACCUUCACCUCGCGUUGCGAAAAGUUGCACGUCACCUAAGCGUCGUAAGUCCUUGAGAAUUAGCUCAGCGAGCAACCUCAUCUACGAACAAUUUGGCAAUUCGUUCAAAGACGCUUAUGAACUUCUCACUGCGAGCAUCUCGGAAAGAAAGAAAGCUUUGUUUUAAGUGCCUCGCUCGCGUGAAUUCUACAAUGCAACUUGUGCUCCGAACAGAACCUAAGUAUGAUUCUUGUGAGAGAUACAAAUACUAUGGGGAAGGCAUCGUGAAACCCAAAAAGUAGAAUCCUCUCGAUAAACCCUCAUCUUGAAAUGAAAGGCACCCGCAACUUGAUUUAUGGUCCUGGUGGAUGUUUGUGAUAUACAAGCAAAUGUCGAGCUUCUUGGGUCAAGACACUAAAGGAUCCUUCUCAAUGCGAACGCCCAGCUUCUCAUCAACCUUGAACUUCGACGUGCCUCUCCUCGCAAUGGCUCUCACCAUCCUAGAAUCCAGUCUGGCUUUCCGCGGCAUAUACACUCUACCUGCCUUACUAAGCUGCAAGCCUGUUAGCGGCACGCUUCCCAUAUGAGCGAGUCUCUUGACUGCAACACUCCGCGACCGAUUCGGCGGAGUCGAUGUGCAGACUGGGCGAAGUGCUCCGGUUUUGCACCACACAGGACUACACUGAUGGACGAACGCUUCUCCGUUCAAUAUGUGGUCAAAUAUAUGCGUAAGAGCAAGUAAGCAUGGGUUUUACAAGGGGUGGCAGAGUCUGUCUAGGACUACUAGGUUGACACAAGCCAGGCAACAUUCCUCUUCCCAUUUCCUAAAUCGGAAAAUCCUUCAGAAUCUCGUCCUACUGAUGAACAACUCAAUAGUGACGCAUCCACCUAAUGCUCCACCGCUUUCUCCACACGGGACUGAAUUUUCAGUGUCGAUGAUAGUCUCCGGUGUCUGUGAUAUCGAGACUAGUCAUGCACUGCUCGCGAGUUCGGUCAUUAUGAAUCCACUGUUAGGGUUGAGGUAGGAUCAUUGCUUUGAAACUGAAUGCAACAACUUGUGGUCUUGAUCACUUCGAAAUAUAUUCGUUUCAUAGUUCUGUCGUUUUUCUAAAAUCUGCAGCAGUCUCCAAGAUGUAGUAAAUUGCAAUGGUAUUUUUAUUGUUAAGUCUAAUUGAUUUUACUUAGCAUGUUUAAUAUAUACUGAAAAUAUUUUUUCAUCUCUUGAACUAGUUACAUAAAUAAAUAUGUACCUUUAUAGCUAACAUCUGAUUGCAUACACAUCUAUAGAAAAUACAACAAUAAGAAUGAAGUUUUGUUGAAAGA